rnacentral:rRNA from 2 species
UGAGGAAUAUUGGUCAAUGGGCGCAAGCCUGAACCAGCCAUCCCGCGUGCAGGAAGACGGCGCUAUGCGUUGUAAACUGCUUUUCCAGGGAGAGAAACUUGCGCACGUGUUGCGCAAUUGACGGUACCCUGGGAAUAAGCAUCGGCUAACUCCGUGCCAGCAGCCGCGGUAAUACGGAGGAUGCGAGCGUUAUCCGGAUUCAUUGGGUUUAAAGGGUGCGUAGGCGGACUAUUAAGUCAGUGGUGAAAUCCUGCAGCUUAACUGCAGAACUGCCAUUGAUACUGAUAGCCUUGAGUUUGGUUAAGGUAGGCGGAAUGUGUAAUGUAGCGGUGAAAUGCUUAGAUAUUACACAGAACACCAAUUGCGUAGGCAGCUUACUGAGCCGACACUGACGCUGAGGCACGAAAGCGUGGGGAUCGAACAG